UACAGAGGGGGCAAGCGUUGUUCGGAAUUACUGGGCGUAAAGCGCGUGUAGGCGGUUGUCCAAGUUGGAUGUGAAAGCCUUGAGCUCAACUCAAGAAAUGCAUUCAGGACUGGAUGACUAGAGGACCGGAGAGGAUAGUGGAAUUCCCAGUGUAGUGGUGAAAUACGUAGAGAUUGGGAAGAACACCAGUGGCGAAGGCGGCUAUCUGGACGGUUUCUGACGCUAAGACGCGAAAGCGUGGGGAGCAAACAGG
rnacentral:rRNA from 1 species